UAGGGAAUCUUCCGCAAUGGACGAAAGUCUGACGGAGCAACGCCGCGUGAGUGAAGAAGGAUUUCGGUUCGUAAAACUCUGUUGUUAGGGAAGAAAAAAUGUAUAGUAACUAUAUACAAAAGAGACGGUACCUAACCAGAAAGCCACGGCUAACUACGUGCCAGCAGCCGCGGUAAUACGUAGGUGGCAAGCGUUGUCCGGAAUUAUUGGGCGUAAAGCGCGCGCAGGUGGUUUAGAAAGUCUGAUGUGAAAGCCCACGGCUCAACCGUGGAGGGUCAUUGGAAACUAAUAAACUUGAGUGCAGGAGAGAAAAGUGGAAUUCCUAGUGUAGCGGUGAAAUGCGUAGAGAUUAGGAGGAACACCGGUGGCGAAAGCGGCUUUUUGGCCUGCAACUGACGCUAAAGCUCGAAGGUGCGGGUAUCGAACAGG
rnacentral:rRNA from 1 species